UGUAGGUACCUCUGUUGCUGAUGCCGCCUU
rnacentral:piRNA from 1 species